UACGUAGGGUGCGAGCGUUAAUCGGAAUUACUGGGCGUAAAGUGUGCGCAGGCGGCCGCGCAAGUCGAGUGUGAAAGCCCCGAGCUUAACUUGGGAACUGCGCUCGAAACUACGUGGCUGGAGUGUGGCAGAGGAAGGUGGAAUUCCAGGUGUAGCGGUGAAAUGCGUAGAGAUCUGGAGGAACACCAGUGGCGAAGGCGAGUCUCUGGACGAUUCCUGACGCUGAGGCACGGAAAGCCAGGGGAGCGAA
rnacentral:rRNA from 1 species